GAUGAACGCUGGCGGCGUGCCUAAUACAUGCCAGUCGAGCGAACGGACGAGAAGCUUGCUUCUCUGAUGUUAGCGGCGGACGGGUGAGUAACACGUGGAUAACCUACCUAUAAGACUGGGAUAACUUCGGGAAACCGGAGCUAAUACCGGAUGAUAUUUUGAACCGCAUGGUUCAAAAGUGAAAGACGGUCUUGCUGUCACUUAUAGAUGGAUCCGCGCUGCAUUAGCUAGUUGGUAAGGUAACGGCUUACCAAGGCAACGAUGCAUAGCCGACCUGAGAGGGUGAUCGGCCACACUGGAACUGAGACACGGUCCAGACUCCUAAGGGAGGCAGCAGUAGGGAAUCUUCCGCAAUGGGCGAAAGCCUGACGGAGCAACGCCGCGUGAGUGAUGAAGGUCUUCGGAUCGUAAAACUCUGUUAUUAGGGAAGAACAUAUGUGUAAGUAACUGUGCACAUCUUGACGGUACCUAAUCAGAAAGCCACGGCUAACUACGUG
rnacentral:rRNA from 1 species